CAAUAGCGUAUAUUAAAGUUGUUGCAGUUAAAAAGCUCGUAGUUGGAUUUGUGGCGUACGGUGUGUUCCGGGCACUUGUUGUCUGAGUAACCUGCUGUUGCCAUCCUUGGGUGGAACCUGUGUGGCAUUAGGUUGUCGUGCAGGGGAUGCCCAUCAUUUACUGUGAAAAAAUUAGAGUGUUCAAAGCAGGCUUAUGCCGUUGAAUAUAUUAGCAUGGAAUAAUGAGAUAGGACUUUUUUGCUAUUUUGUUGGUUUGCGCAAAGAGGUAAUGAUUAAUAGGGACAGUUGGGGGUAUUCGUAUUCCAUUGUCGGAGGUGAAAUUCUUGGAUUUUUGGAAGACGAACUACUGCGAAAGCAUUUACCAAGGAUGUUUUCAUUGA
rnacentral:rRNA from 1 species